GGAGGCGCAGCGGGUUGCCGGCCUGCGGACCUCCUGACAUUCCCUGGGUCCUUCUCAAGAAUGAACUGGAGCUGGCGGAGACCAAAUGCGCCUUGCAGGAGGAGAAGCUGCAGCAGGACGCGCUGCAGACAGCGGAGGCCUGGGCCAUAUUCCAGGAGCAGACCGUAGUCCUGCAGGUGUGACGGGCAGCUUCGCAGAGUGCAGUACAGCACCGAGUCGCUCAUGGAGGAGAUGGCCAGGGCGGACCGAGUGAGCGCCUGCGCGGGUCCGGGCGGGGUGGGCUGGAGCGGGACACCCCUCCCCAUCCCCCCCGCGGUACCGCCUCCCCCUCCUCCUGGAAACCGGGCCGGCGCCGCGGGCGCGGAGGUAGCUGGAUGCGGCCCUCUCUCCCC
rnacentral:lncRNA from 10 species